ACUUGUUUAAAAAGAUAGCAAGCAACAAAUUAGUAAGAAUGCCCCAUCAUAUAAUUCAUAAACUUUUACCUCUCACGUGCAAAUGUAUGUUUCAAAAGUUAUUGUAUGUCCUCAAAUAUACAACUUGAAAUUUUUGGUGAGUAGCAAACAUUCUCUGCGUCUUAGCUCAAAGACAUAAAAGAUUUUACAAAUUAUGCCUAUGUUCAGAACAACAUAAAUUCUGUCUUACAUGUUCAUGAACUGACAAUGCAAAAUAAGCCUUUUCUCCACCAUGUCCAAUGUUUUAAUUGGUCACUUGUCUUUCAUCAACACUAAAGUUUUUAGUGCUUCAUUUUGCUGAUUAUCAGGAUAAUUGGGCAGCUUUUAACAUACAAAGCGACAGGGUGGAAUUAUUUAAAGUAUUUUUAAAAUGCAUUUAACAUGAACAUCUAUGAAGUUUAAUCUCUUUUGCACUAACUUUUUAAAUCCACAGAGAAGUAUUUUUUUUUUUAAGAAACUUAACUUCCUUGAAAGGCAAGGAAGGAGGCUCAUGGCCCAAUUCUUUCUACCAGUGAGAAAGUUCUUUAAAGACCAAAUGUUUUAUUUUUAGAAUUUGUGCCAAUUUUUCUUUCUACUCCUGUACACAUAUGUGGCUACCAGCUUUCACUUUUGUGCCAGACACAUUCCUAAUUUGAAAAACAUAGUUGUACAGCAAUGAAUGAAAUGCCAGCAAAUUAUGUCUGCAUAAGUCUUUACAUGAGUUUUUAUAGAGCAUCACUUUAAUAAUUUUCAGUUUGUUCAGCAAAGACAAAACUAAUGAUCUCAUGUAAGAAAGGAGGAAAUUUACAUGGGAAUUUUGGCAACAUGAUCUAUGUUAGUAUUCUAUGGCUGUGUAACAAAUUACAACAUACUUAGGGACUUAAAAAAACUCAAAUUUAUUACCUCAGCAUUUGAGUCAGGAGUACUGGAAUAAGUUAAUGAGGUCCUCUGCUCAGGGUCUCACAAGGCUGAAAUCAAUUAACAAGGCUGCAGUCUCAUCUGAGGCUCAAGCGCCUCUCACAGGUUCACUGGUUGUUUGGACAGAGUUCAACUUCUUGUGGUUGUAGGACUGAGGUCCCAGAGACUGCCUGCUGUUCCCUGUCAUAGAAUGCUCUCACAACACAGAAAUUUGCUUCUUCGUGGUGAAGGAGAGAAUGUCUCUGGUGCUUUGAAAACUAUUUUAAAGGGCUUGCUGGAUUGGGUAAGACCCACCCAGGAUUUCCUUUUUAAUUAACUUGAAGUCAACUUAUUAUGGACAUUAAUUACACCUUAAAAAUCCAUUCACUUUUGCCUUAUAAACUAAUCACAGGAAUGAUAUUCUAU
rnacentral:lncRNA from 1 species